rnacentral:rRNA from 4 species
AACGACUCUCGGCAACGGAUAUCUCGGCUCUCGCAUCGAUGAAGAACGUAGCGAAAUGCGAUACUUGGUGUGAAUUGCAGAAUCCCGUGAACCAUCGAGUCUUUGAACGCAAGUUGCGCCCCAAGCCUUCUGGCCGAGGGCACGUCUGCCUGGGCGUCACA